rnacentral:RNase_P_RNA from 1 species
GGAGCCGGCCGGACAGUCGCGUCAUUCGAAAGAAUGCCGAGGAAAGUCCGGGCUCCACAGGGCACGGUGCCAGGUAACGCCUGGGCGGCGCGAGCCGACGGCCAGUGCAACAGAAAGAUACCGCCGAUGGCCCGCAAGGGAUCAGGUAAGGGUGAAAUGGUGCGGUAAGAGCGCACCGCGAGUCUGGUAACAGACCGGCACGGUAAACCCCACCGGGAGCAAGACCGAAUAGGGACCUCAUGGCGCUGCCCGCGUCGGGUCCGGGUAGGUUGCUUGAGCGUAUCGGUGACGAUGCGCCUAGAGGAAUGACUGUCCACGACAGAACCCGGCUUACAGGCCGGCUCCGCCA